rnacentral:lncRNA from 1 species
AUAAAAAGGAAAAAAAUUCAUAAAUUCUUUGAAAAUUUGCAAAUUAUAUUAUCAGAAUGUCAAUAGGUACAAAUACCAGAAAUUUUAUCUAAAUGAUGCUAAACAGAUAUAGUUUUGAAUAUGAUAUUAAAAACAAAAAUCCGACUAUAUCUGUUUCGGAUAUGGAUAUAAAAAACAAAAAUUCGACGGAUAUGGAUUUUAACUGUACCCAACCGAAACCAAAACCUGAACCCAACUCGAACAUGAAUUGUAUUUGUAUUUUAAAUAUUUAGAUUUAAUGUAAUAUGUUUUGAAUUAUUGUAAAGAAAAGCAAUUAUUUUGGAUUUAGGUUUUAGAUUUUUGGUUGGGUUCGAAUUUUGAUAUGGACUUUUGAAAUCCGUUUUUGAAAUCCGUCAGGUUCGGGUUUGGGUUCGGGCUCGGGUUUCAAGUUUGAUAGUUGAGUUCGGGUUCGGAUUUUUAAAAAUUAAUCCAUUCUGAAUCCAACUCGUUGAUAUCCCUAAUUAUAUAUAAAUCAAAAUGAAGCGAAAAUAUACAAAAAAAAAAAAUUUGUUGGGAAAAAAAAAUAUUGUAACUAUAAAUUAAAAUAAACAAAAAAGGAAUAAUUGCCUAUAUACCCCUAAUACGUUUGGAAAUAUCCGAUUUAUUCUUUCUAAAAUAUCCUUUAUAUGUUCCACCGUUAUUGCAAAAUAUCCCCACAGUUAUCUCCUGUUAAGUUAACCUGAGUUAAACGUAAGUUAAAUACCUACCACAGUUAAAAAAAAUUAAAAUACCAAUUUUGCCCUUAACUUAAGGGCAAAUAAAAAAGGUUGGUGACGGUAGAGGGGGUUAUUGGAAAAGACCAAAAGUCAAACAACUUUUUGUGCCCAUGACUUUAAGGGCAAAUAAGAAAGACAGUAAUGGUGGAAGGGUAUAUUUGAAAAGGCAAAAUAGUAAUUUUACAGAGAUAACAGAAUUACUUAACAAAUUUUAACUCUAAGGGUAUAUUAGAAAUAGGUUGGAACGUAGGAGGGGUAUUUUCAAUAUUAGCCUUCUAAGAGGGGUAAAUUGAAAAGUCGGAAACUUUUCAGGAGUAUAUAAGCAAUUGCCCCAACAAAAAA